CUCUCCGCCCCCUCCGCCAUCCGGAAUGCUGACCCGCGCGGAGUGCGGGGGCGGCCGAGGGCGGGAGCGGCGAGGAGGCGGGACGCGACACACGCACCACGCCGAGAACUGCUUCACCGCUUUUUAAAAGGUCGCAGAGGGAGCGGCGGACGCAGCGCCAGGGAACCCAGGACCGGGAGAGGAGGAGCGGCGGUGACGGCGGCGGUAACUCGUGAGGAGCGAGAAACAGCCCCAGCGCGCGACAGGGGAGGGGGCGACGGGGGCGGGGCGCGAGCCGACGGACUGCGAGGACGGUCACCGCUGCGACGGACGGCUGGGCGCGCGCACGCGCGCUCCACUCCCUCCGCCCCCGGGAGCCCGAAAAAGAUUCCCACCCUCGCCCGCGCCACUGGCCCCUCCCCCACUUCCGGCGUCUCCUAGCGACGGCCGGGGUAGGGGCCGGGAUGCGUGCGGGAGUUGGUGGCGCAGUUAACCCUUCCGCCGCCCGCUUGCCCCUGGAGCGGCUGGAGAAGCCCCCACCUCCCGGCGGCCUUUGUUAGCCCGGCGGGAACACACCACCCUGCUCUGCUGGCUUCCCGCCGGCUCCCUCCGGGACUCAUCUCGGCUCUGUCCCCAUGGAGGUCAUCGGCCUGGGGAACUUCUCGAGGCUUUUCUCCCUCUGCUGCUGACAGGAGGCCGAAGGAGGGCACAGCCUCCACUCUUGGGACCCUCCUCUGUGAAAGAUCACACCUCAGCAGGGCAGGAAUAAAACAAACUUUCACGCA